rnacentral:rRNA from 1 species
AGUCGACGGAUUAUAGAGCUUGCUCUAAUGGUUAGUGGCGGACGGGUGAGUAACGCGUGGGAACCUGCCCUGGAGUGGGGAACAACCUUUGGAAACGAAGGCUAAUACCGCAUACGCUCUACGGAGGAAAGGCUUCGGCCGCUCCAGGAUGGUCCCGCGUCUGAUUAGCUUGUUGGUGGGGUAACGGCCUACCAAGGCGACGAUCAGUAGCUGGUCUGAGAGGAUGAUCAGCCACACUGGGACUGAGACACGGCCCAGACUCCUACGGGAGGCAGCAGUGGGGAAUAUUGGACAAUGGGGGAAACCCUGAUCCAGCAAUGCCGCGUGAGUGAAGAAGGCCUUAGGGUUGUAAAACUCUUUCACUGAUGAAGAUGAUGACGGUAAUCAGAGAAGAAGCCCCGGCUAACUCCGUGCCAGCAGCCGCGGUAAUACGGAGGGGGCUAGCGUUGUUCGGAUUUACUGGGCGUAAAGCGCACGUAGGCGGCGUAUCAAGUCAGAGGUGAAAGGCCUGGGCUCAACCUAGGAACUGCCUUUGAUACUGAUAUGCUUGAGUUCGGGAGAGGGUAGUGGAAUUCCAAGUGUAGAGGUGAAAUUCGUAGAUAUUUGGAAGAACACCGGUGGCGAAGGCGGCUACCUGGCCCGAUACUGACGCUGAGGUGCGAAAGCGUGGGGAGCGAACAGGAUUAGAUACCCUGGUAGUCCACGCCGUAAACGAUGAGUGCUAGUUGUCGGGAUGCAUGCAUUUCGGUGACGUAGUUAACGCGUUAAGCACUCCGCCUGGGGAGUACGGCCGCAAGGUUAAAACUCAUAGGAAUUGACGGGGGCCCGCAC